rnacentral:rRNA from 1 species
UACGUGAGGGGCGAGCGUUGUUCGGUGUCACUGGGCUUAAAGGGUGCGUAGGCGGUUGCGUAAGUAACGUGUGAAAUCCCUCGGCUUACCCGGGGAAUUGCGCGUUAUACUGCGCGACUUGAGGAUUUCAGGGGAAUGGGGAACUCCAGGUGUAGCGGUGAAAUGCGCAGAUAUCUGGGGGAAGGCCGGCGGCGAAGGCGCCAUUCUGGGAAAUUCCUGACACUGAGGCACGAAAGCGUGGGGAGCAAACAGG